GUGAGUAGCGAAAGACGGGUGAGAAUCCCGUCCACCGAUUGACUAAGGUUUCCAGAGGAAGGCUCGUCCGCUCUGGGUUAGUCGGGUCCUAAGCUGAGGCCGACAGGCGUAGGCGAUGGAUAACAGGUUGAUAUUCCUGUACCACCUAUAAUCGUUUUAAUCGAUGGGGGGACGCAGUAGGAUAGGCGAAGCGUGCGAUUGGAUUGCACGUCUAAGCAGUAAGGCUGAGUAUUAGGCAAAUCCGGUACUCGUUAAGGCUGAGCUGUGAUGGGGAGAAGACAUUGUGUCUUCGAGUCGUUGAUUUCACACUGCCGAGAAAAGCCUCUAGAUAGAAAAUAGGUGCCCGUACCGCAAACCGACACAGGUAGUCAAGAUGAGAAUUCUAAGGUGAGCGAGCGAACUCUCGUUAAGGAACUCGGCAAAAUGACCCCGUAACUUCGGGAGAAGGGGUGCUCUUUAGGGUUAACGCCCAGAAGAGCCGCAGUGAAUAGGCCCAAGCGACUGUUUAUCAAAAACACAGGUCUCUGCUAAACCGUAAGGUGAUGUAUAGGGGCUGACGCCUGCCCGGUGCUGGAAGGUUAAGAGGAGUGGUUAGCUUCUGCGAAGCUACGAAUCGAAGCCCCAGUAAACGGCGGCCGUAACUAUAACGGUCCUAAGGUAGCGAAAUUCCUUGUCGGGUAAGUUCCGACCCGCACGAAAGGCGUAACGAUUUGGGCACUGUCUCAACGAGAGACUCGGUGAAAUCAUAGUACCUGUGAAGAUGCAGGUUACCCGCGACAGGACGGAAAGACCCCGUGGAGCUUUACUGUAGCCUGAUAUUGAAAUUCGGCACAGCUUGUACAGGAUAGGUAGGAGCCUUUGAAACGUGAGCGCUAGCUUACGUGGAGGCGCUGGUGGGAUACUACCCUAGCUGUGUUGGCUUUCUAACCCGCACCACUUAUCGUGGUGGGAGACAGUGUCAGGCGGGCAGUUUGACUGGGGCGGUCGCCUCCUAAAAGGUAACGGAGGCGCUCAAAGGUUCCCUCAGAAUGGUUGGAAAUCAUUCAUAGAGUGUAAAGGCAUAAGGGAGCUUGACUGCGAGACCUACAAGUCGAGCAGGGUCGAAAGACGGACUUAGUGAUCCGGUGGUUCCGCAUGGAAGGGCCAUCGCUCAACGGAUAAAAGCUACCCCGGGGAUAACAGGCUUAUCUCCCCCAAGAGUUCACAUCGACGGGGAGGUUUGGCACCUCGAUGUCGGCUC
rnacentral:rRNA from 1 species